rnacentral:lncRNA from 10 species
UAUCACUCUGGCAAGACUAGAUUAGUUCUUGUGGGAGUGGAUUCGUUCCCUCUUGAGAGUGAGUUAUUAUAAAGCCAGGAGCUUCUCUUUUCAUGAGGUUCGUGUCGGCUUCCCCUUUGAACUUCUCACUAUGUUUUGACCUAAAACGUGGCUCUUUCUCUCACCAGAUGCUGAACAGAUGCCAGUGCAAUGCUUUUGGUACUUCUCAGUCUGCAGAACUGGAGUUGAAAACAAGGCUACAGUCCGCAAGUCAUGAUACCACGAUAAACAUUUUAAAAGAGGAAAAUUUAAGAAAAUCCCAGUGUAUUCACCUAUGAAGUGUAAAGUCAUGAACAACAUGAGAACAAUGCAACUAUGGCACACAUUUAGACGCUGUUACGAGUAACAACAAAAAAAAUUUUGCAGCGUUUGAAAUUAUAUUCAGCGUAACUUUUUGUACUUAUAUACACUACUACUGUAUAAAUUUAAAAAAUUAAUGUCAUUAAUUUCCUCUAAAAAGUGAUUAUUUUUAAUUGGGCUAGUUUGCCUGCCAGGAAAACUUUCAUGUACAUUUUGUUGAUUCAAAUCAAUAAAAAUCCAGGAAUAAUGUGAGCUAAUUAUGCUUUAAAAUGUGAAUAUAAUAUUUGUAUCAUAACAGGAGAUCAAUAAAUGAUUGUUGCCUCUGACCUCUCUUUUCCCACCCAACACACACACAGUUACAUUUCAUACUUGUGUCAUACACAAAUUAUUUGUAUAUUGUUGUGGUUUGAUGUAAUGUUCUCUUUCAUUCUUAGGCACUUGAGCUCUGGAGUCCAUUGCUGGAGACAAAUUCAAACUGCAGUGUUGCCACUUCUGGCAUGUAACUUGGAAGAAUUCAUGUAACUCUUUGCAUACCAAUUUCUUCAUUAUAAAAUAGAAGCAAUAACACUUUCUCCAUAAUGUUAUCGCGAACAUUAAAAGACAUAAUACAUAAAAAUGCCUAGUACAGUACCAGGCAAGUAGUAAGCGACAGAUGUUAACUAUAUUAUCAUUCUUUUUAUUAUUACAAUCGGUAUCUAAUAUGUCACACAAUUUCCUUCUCAACUUUAUUUUGUGUUGCUCAUUAUUACUUUCAACUAAUAAAAUGUCUAUGUGGGCAUGUAUCUUCUGUUUUUAAUUGAGCGUAGUAGAAAUGUUAAAUACUUGUUGAAAAAUUGCGUAAAACUAUAAGAACAUUAUUCACAGAAAAGGAAAAUCAACUAUUAGUGUUCCGUUCAUUGAGUUAACAGGUAUGGCCAAUAUGGAGUAUGUAUUAUUAUUUGGUCUGACAAAAUGGAUAUUG